GCUGGGCGUGGUGGCGCGCGCCUAUAGUCCCAGCUACUCAAGAGGCUGAGGUGGGAGGAUCGCUUGAGUCCAGGAGUUCUGGGCUGCAGUGCACUAUGCCGAUCGGGUGUCCGCACUAAGUUCGGCAUCAAUAUGGUGACCUCCCUGGGGCAGGGGACCACCAUGUUGCCUAAGGAGGGGUGAACCGGCCCAGAUCGGAAACGGAGCAGGUCAAAACUUCCGUGCUGAUCAGUAGUGGAAUCACGUCUGUGAAUAGCCACUGCACUCCAACCUGGGCAAUAUAGUGAGACCCUGUCUCUA
rnacentral:SRP_RNA from 1 species